GCCUGGGUGGCUCAGUUGGUUGAGUGUCUGACUUCAGCUCAGGUCAUGAUUUCACGGUUUGUGAGCUUGAACCCUGCUUCAGGCU
rnacentral:tRNA from 1 species